rnacentral:rRNA from 1 species
GUUAGCUGAGAGGUGGUGCAUGGCCGUCGUCAGUUCGUACUGUGAAGCAUCCUGUUAAGUCAGGCAACGAGCGAGACCCACGCCAACAGUUGCCAGCUCGUCCUCCGGGAUGGUGGGGACACUGUUGGGACCGCCUCUGCUAAAGAGGAGGAAGGAAUGGGCAACGGUAGGUCAGCAUGCCCCGAAUUAUCUGGGCUACACGCGGGCUACAAUGGGUGGGACAAUGGGUAUCGACACCGAAAGGUGAAGGCAAUCUCCUAAACCCAUCCGUAGUUCGGAUUGUGGGCUGCAACUCGCCCACAUGAAGCUGGAAUCUGUAGUAAUCGUGUCUCAAAAUGGCACGGUGAAUAUGUCCCUGCUCCUU